CCUACGGGAGGCAGCAGUGAGGACUAUUGGUCAAUGGGCGCGAGCCUGAACCAGCCAAGUAGCGUGAAGGAUGACUGCCCUACGGGUUGUAAACUUCUUUUAUAAAGGAAUAAAGUGAGGCACGUGUGCAUUUUUGUAUGUACUUUAUGAAUAAGGAUCGGCUAACUCCGUGCCAGCAGCCGCGGUAAUACGGAGGAUCCAGGCGUUAUCCGGCUUUAUGGGGGUUAAAGGAAGCGUAGAUGGGUUGUUAAGUCAGUUGUGAAAGUUUGCGGCUCAACCGUAAAAUUGCAAUUGAUACUGGCAGCCUUGAGUACAGUUGAGGUAGGCGGAAUUCGUGGUGUAGCGGUGAAAUGCUUAGAUAUCACGAAGAACUCCGAUUGCGAAGGCAGCCUACUAAACUGCCACUGACAUUGAUGCUCGAAAGUGUGGGUAUCAAACAGGAUUAGAUACCCUAGUAGUC
rnacentral:rRNA from 1 species